rnacentral:rRNA from 1 species
GAGACAGUUCGGUCCCUAUCUGCCGUGGGCGCUGGAGAACUGAGGGGGGCUGCUCCUAGUACGAGAGGACCGGAGUGGACGCAUCACUGGUGUUCGGGUUGUCAUGCCAAUGGCACUGCCCGGUAGCUAAAUGCGGAAGAGAUAAGUGCUGAAAGCAUCUAAGCACGAAACUUGCCCCGAGAUGAGUUCUCCCUGACCCUUUAAGGGUCCUGAAGGAACGUUGAAGACGACGACGUUGAUAGGCCGGGUGUGUAAGCGCAGCGAUGCGUUGAGCUAACCGGUACUAAUGAACCGUGAGGCUUAACCUUACAACGCCGAAGCUGUU